rnacentral:rRNA from 1 species
CUACGGGCGGCUCCAGUAGGGAAUAUUGGACAAUGGGCGAAAGCCUGAUCCAGCAACACCGCGUGCACGAUGACGGCCUUCGGGUUGUAAAGUGCUUUUAGAGGAGAUGAGAAAGGACAGUAUCCUCUGAAUAAGCCUCGGCGAACUACGUGCCAGCAGCCGCGGUAAAACGUAGGAGGCAAGCGUUAUCCGGAUUUAUUGGGCGUAAAGCGCGUGCAGGCGGUCUAGCAAGUUGGAUGUGAAAGCUCCCGGCUCAACUGGGAGAGGUCGUUCAAUACUGUUAGACUAGAGAAUAGGAGAGGGAGGUGGAAUUCCGGGUGUAGUGGUGAAAUGCGUAGAUAUCCGGAGGAACACCAGUGGCGAAAGCGGCCUCCUGGACGAAGACUGACGCUCAGGUGCGAAAGCGUGGGGAGCAAACAGGAUUAGAUACCCGUGUAGUC